AAAGUACCCAAAGCGAAGUGUUGACCUUUCACUUCAGUUUGGCUGAAAAAACACUUUGCAAAUCAUCAGUCAAGAAGCAUGUUCCGCAGAGUGUUUGCUUUAAAAUAUUUCGUUUUCUGGAAUUAAAUACGUAAGGUCUUCGGGAAAACCAACCAAUUUCACGGCGGAAGUUUGGCACGAAGACGAGUUGCGAGAGCAACUGAGAAGCAGUAUCAUGAAAAAUAUGUCUUUUUUUUCUCCGAGGUCCAUCCGUCUUCAGUAUAUUCGUUUGGAUUACUUGGGAAUGUGCAUACAGGUCAAGAAUAUAUAUGCAACAUGAGGGACCAGAUAUUCUAUACCGCUGCCGAUUGUGCAAGUUCCGGACAUUUUUUUUCUACGUUUCGAGUUGUGUAAAAUGUAUAUAGUGUAGAUAGUGUUAUAAUCGAUUAAAUGGGUUAAACCCUUUCAGAGAUGAAACGAUAUUUGAGAAGCGAGAGAGUAAAAACGAUAAAUUACGAUGUUCGGUUUCCUUCAAUAAAUGCUCACUGAAGUCGUUCUCUUAUACCUUGAACGCCAACUUGAGUAGACGUGUUUUUAAUUAUCAGGAUUUAAGAAACCCCAUUUUGGAUAUACUUUAAGUGGACGACGAGUGAAAACCGAUUAAAUUAUUUGUGGAAUUGUUGGAUCCAAUUGUGAACAAGAGAAACUAAUCUAUUUCGUAGCGGCUAGUGAAAACUGGAAGCGUGCAUAGGAGGGCCGUGUAGCGAAAAAUUUUAACAUUCAGUGUUCCAACAAGUGGAAUGAAAAAAAUCUGUAAACGGAUGAAAUUGUAGUUUAAACAACUAGCUGUCCCAGGUGAAAGUAAAAAAAAAAAUUAGUGAAAAAAAAAAAAAAGUAAAACGGGAAACUAAGUUAUAUAGAAACUGUACCACAUGGUUUGUGGGAAGAAACGUGGCCAUUGAAGUUGCAUUAUCCCACUUGGUCCGCCAUUUUGAAGGUGUAGAAGUGGGGUCGAAGAGAUUUUGAAUAAGUAUUUUGGAAGAAGCAGUGAGAGUGAGUGGUUGGAAGCAACGGUGAGUUGUAUAAAACAAUAAGUGUAGCGAUUAGCGAAGAAUAUAGCGAAAAUAACUCAGUGGUGUUAGUAACAGAAACAAGCGAACGGUGAUUAAGUUUAACAAAAGAGCGAGAACAUAGAAAGAAAAUAAAAGAGUGGAAGAAGAAGAGUCGGUGAAAAGAGAGAGUACAGUCGACGUGUGACAACCGCCGGCGAGGCCGACACUGGAAAGGGUGAGCGUCGAUGAGACGAGAGUCGAAGAGAGUUGAGUGAACGAAAGUAAAGCGAGCAUCAGUGAGACGAACACUGGUGAGAAGAGCACUGGUGAGACAAGCACUGGUGAGACGAACAUCGUGAGGUAAUCUUCAACCGAUUCGAUUGCAAGAUACACGAGAUAGUAAGAAACUGAGAUCAAGCACAAUUGCAAUGCACAUCGAAAUCAACUAAAGGUCAUGGUUCCACGACAAUCCAGGUCGACGAUCCGGUUGCCAAUACAAAGACAGAAACGACGACGAGCAUCAAUUGACACUGAGGAAGAGUUUUUCGGGUUCCAGAAUGAAGAGAUCGCUGCUAGGAAGGACUAUGCCAAGCAAGGGAAACAAGAGCAUACAAGAACUAGCCCCAUCAGAACGCGAAGCAUUUCGCGAUCGAAAAGAAGAAAAGUCGAUGAAGAAAAUUGAAACGUUUGAAAGACCCAGUAGCAAUGUGUACAGUCGUAAUUUGACAUUGAGUCCUGGGAUACGCA